CCAAUAGCGUAUAUUAAAGUUGUUGCAGUUAAAAAGCUCGUAGUUGAAUUUCGGGGUUAGUAGGUUGGUCAUGCCUCUGGUAUGUACUGGUCUCACUGAUUCCUCCUUCCUGAUGAGCCGUAAUGCCAUUAAUUUGGUGUUGCGGGGAAUUUGGACUGUUACUUUGAAAAAAUUAGAGUGUUUAAAGCAAGCUAACGCUUGAAUACAUUAGCAUGGAAUAAUGAAAUAGGACGUUCGAUCCUAUUUUGUUGGUUUCUAGGAUUGACGUAAUGAUUAAUAGGGAUAGUUGGGGGCAUUAGUAUUCAAUUGUCAGAGGUGAAGUUCUUGGAUUUAUUGAAGACUAACUACUGCGAAAGCAUUUGCCAAGGAUGUUUUCAUUAAUCAAGAACGAAAGUUAGGGGAUCGAAGACGAUCAGAUACCGUCGUAGUCUUAACCAUAAACUAUGCCGACUAGGGAUCGGAUGAUGUUAAUUUUUUAAUGACUCAUUCGGCGCCUUACG
rnacentral:rRNA from 1 species